rnacentral:pre_miRNA from 1 species
AGGGGAGGCCGGAUCCUGGGCUGUGUCCCGGCGCCCUGUGCUCUGGGGCCUGUGCUGUUGGAUUCGCGCUCCCGCCCCGCAGCCCCCU